rnacentral:rRNA from 1 species
CAUGGCUCAGAUUGAACGCUGGCGGAAUGCUUUACACAUGCAAGUCGAACGGCAGCACGGGGCAACCUGGUGGCGAGUGGCGAACGGGUGAGUAAUACAUCGGAACGUGCCCAAUCGUGGGGAUAACGUAGCGAAAGUUACGCUAAUACCGCAUACGAUCUACGGAUGAAAGCGGGGGAUCGCAAGACCUCGCGCGAGUGGAGCGGCCGAUGUCAGAUUAGGUAGUUGGUGGGGUAAAGGCUCACCAAGCCAACGAUCUGUAGCUGGUCUGAGAGGACGACCAGCCACACUGGAACUGAGACACGGUCCAGACUCCUACGGGAGGCAGCAGUGGGGAAUUUUGGACAAUGGGCGCAAGCCUGAUCCAGCCAUUCCGCGUGCAGGAUGAAGGCCUUCGGGUUGUAAACUGCUUUUGUACGGAACGAAACGGCGAGCUCUAAUACAGUUUGCUAAUGACGGUACCGUAAGAAUAAGCACCGGCUAACUACGUG